rnacentral:rRNA from 12 species
AAGAGGUCUGGAAAGGCCCGCCAUAGGAGGUAACAGCCCUGUAGUCAAAACUUCGUUCUCUCCUGAGUGGAUCCUGAGUACGGCGGAACACGUGAAAUUCCGUCGGAAUCCGGGAGGACCAUCUCCCAAGGCUAAAUACUCCCUAGUGACCGAUAGUGAACCAGUACCGUGAGGGAAAGGUGAAAAGCACCCCGACGAGGGGAGUGAAACAGUACCUGAAACCGAACGCCUACAAUCAGUUGGAGGGCCCUUGAGGCCUGACAGCGUACCUUUUGUAUAAUGGGUCAUCGACUUGGUCUCACGAGCAAGCUUAAGCC